UUAUUUUUUGUAAAAAGAGUAGACAACUCAUAAUUUUUAAUUUCUAAUUCAUAUAUUAUUUAAAUUAAAUUUCACUUCAUUCACCUAAUUGAUUUUAUGUAUACUAAUCUAAAUCUUUUUUUAUUUCCCAACAUAAUAUCAUUAUUUGGUUCGAUAAUUGAUUUUUUAUUUUUUAAAAGCGUCCAUGAAUGCAUGUAUAAAUAAAUAAAUUUUUAUUUUUUACAAAAACAACAUAAACCAAUACUUCAUUCAUCAAAUUGUCGAAAAGGGUUUGGUAUUUUAUGUAAUAAUCCUAAAAAACUUGAUAUGAACAUGUGAAGGAAAAAAAAAAAAGGGGGUUAGUGAAGAGGACAACCAUGAUUUUUCUUUGCUAUACAAGGAUAAAAAGAUUAAAAACUUGUAUGUAAGGCUAUUCUUUGUUCUGAUAAAAUCUUCCAAGGUUGAGAUUGAACUCUUCAAUUAAAUUCUCUCAACACACAGCCCCAAAUCAUAUAGCAAAUUCGAAAGCCACAAUUCAUCCUCGACAUGGAAAUUGAAGCUUCUUAAUAUUUGGUUUGUCAUGGCCCGAUAAGGCAGAACAUGAUUAAGUACUCCAGUUGUAUGAUCGUCCAUUGACUCGUUGUCAUCAAAAGAUACGUAUGCUUGUGCUUUGAAAUCCAUAAAUCUUUCCACUUCCUUGAUGAAAUUUGUACUGCAUAUUUUGUUAUGGGAAAGUUGAGAAUGUUUUCACAAAGUGGAUAUGCAGAUUGUUUAUUAACCAGUUUUCCCUUUCAUCCGAUGUGAAAUAAGCAAACUUACUAUAAGUUCUUACAGUAAAAAAAACAAAGGGAAAAAAUAUGAAAUAAACUAAAACAUUAACAAAAAAUGUUGGAUUGCUACAACAAAAUGGAAGAGCCAAUAUUUACCUUCCAAGAGAAGUAGGUGCAUAUAUUUCCUAUCUUCUUGAAUUGCCAUGAACAACAAUUAAAUGCAACAAUGAGCAGACAAGAAUUGUAAUCCACAACCAUUUUAAGAUCGCUAAGAGAAACACUUUGAACUCUAGCGUCUUCUCAU
rnacentral:lncRNA from 1 species